CUCCAACCAGCUAGCCUUAAAAAGUAAAUACAACAAUCAAUUUUUUUAACCCCAAAAACAACACCAAGAACUUAAACAAACCAUUUUUUACCCAAGUAUGGGAGACAGAAAAGGCCCAAUAGAGCUAUAGAAUAAGUACCGCAAGGGAAAGCUGAAAGAGAGAUGAAAAAGCCCAGUAAAGAGAAAUAAAGCAGAGAUGACACCUCGUACCUUUUGCAUCAUGAUUUAGCUAGAAAAUUCAAGCAAAGAGCCCUAUAGUUUGAAACCCCGAAACUGAGUGAGCUACUCCAAGACAGCCUAAUUACUAGGGCGCACCCUUCUCUGUGGCAAAAGAGUGGGAAGAUCCUUGAGUAGAGGUGACAGACCUAUCGAACUCAGUUAUAGCUGGUUGUCUGAGAAGUGGAUACAAGUUCAGCCUCUCUAAUUCUUCAUUCAAUUUUAAUCACCAAAGGAUGCUGAGAACCCCGAGAGAGUUAGUCAAAGGGGGUACAGCUCCUUUGAAAUAAAAACAACUUGUAAGGGAGGGUAAGGGUCAUAUAUACCAAGGAAGCACGUUCUAGUGGGCCUAAAAGCAGCCAACUUAGCAGAAAGCGUUAAAGCUCAAACAAAUAAUUCCUCCCCUUAUUCCGAUAAUUUAACCCCAUCCCCCCAACUAUAUCAGACCUCUCUAUACCUAUAGAAGAGAUUAUGCUAAAAUGAGUAACAGGAAAAUACGAUUUUCUCACUACACAUGUGUAAGUCGGAACGGACAAACCACCGAAAAUUAACGACCCCAAACAAAGAGGGCCCUGUAGACCAAAAUGCACAAAACUAGAAAAACCCCCAAACAAGAAUCGUUAACCCAACACAGGAGUCUAUGCAGUGAAAGAUUAAAAGAGGGAGAAGGAACUCGGCAAACUAUAACCAAGCCUCGCCUGUUUACCAAACACAUCGCCUCUUGCCCUAUAACCGUAUAAGAGGUCCUGCCUGCCCAGUGACAUAAUGUUAAACGGCCGCGGUAUUCUGACCGUGCGAAGGUAGCGCAAUCACUUGUCUUUUAAAUGGAGACCUGUAUGAAUGGCAAGACGAGGGCUUAACUGUCUCCUCCCUUCAAUCAAUGAAAUUGAUCUCCCCGUGCAGAAGCGGGGAUUAACCCAUAAGACGAGAAGACCCUAUGGAGCUUUAGACAAUAAGACAGCCUAUAAAAAGCAAUCAAAAUUAAAAGAAGCACCCCCUAUACCUCCUGUCUCAAUGUCUUCGGUUGGGGCGACCAUGGGGAAAUACAAAACCCCCAAGUGGAACGAGAGGACCCCCCACAUAUUCUCUCCAAAACUAGAGAGACAUCUCUAAUAAACAGAAAUUCUGACCUUCAAGGAUCCGGUACUACCGAUCAACGAACCAAGUUACCCUAGGGAUAACAGCGCAAUCCCCUUUUAGAGUCCAUAUCGACAAGGGGGUUUACGACCUCGAUGUUGGAUCAGGACAUCCUAAUGGUGCAGCAGCUAUUAAGGGUUCGUUUGUUCAACGAUUAAAGUCCUACGUGAUCUGAGUUCAGACCGGAGAAAUCCAGGUCAGUUUCUAUCUAUGACGCGAUCUUUUCUAGUACGAAAGGACCGAAAAGAAGGGGCCAAUGCCUAAAGUAUGCCCCUCCCUCACCUACUGAAGAAAUAUAAAUUAGACAAAAAGGCGCACCACGCAGUCUAAGAAAAAGACAU
rnacentral:rRNA from 1 species